rnacentral:rRNA from 1 species
AGAGUUUGAUCCUGGCUCAGGAUGAACGCUGGCGGCGUGCCUAAUACAUGCAAGUCGAACGAGUUCUCGUUGAUGAUCGGUGCUUGCACCGAGAUUCAACAUGGAACGAGUGGCGGACGGGUGAGUAACACGUGGGUAACCUGCCCUUAAGUGGGGGAUAACAUUUGGAAACAGAUGCUAAUACCGCAUAGAUCCAAGAACCGCAUGGUUCUUGGCUGAAAGAUGGCGUAAGCUAUCGCUUUUGGAUGGACCCGCGGCGUAUUAGCUAGUUGGUGAGGUAAUGGCUCACCAAGGCGAUGAUACGUAGCCGAACUGAGAGGUUGAUCGGCCACAUUGGGACUGAGACACGGCCCAAACUCCUACGGGAGGCAGCAGUAGGGAAUCUUCCACAAUGGACGCAAGUCUGAUGGAGCAACGCCGCGUGAGUGAAGAAGGCUUUCGGGUCGUAAAACUCUGUUGUUGGAGAAGAAUGGUCGGCAGAGUAACUGUUGUCGGCGUGACGGUAUCCAACCAGAAAGCCACGGCUAACUACGUGCCAGCAGCCGCGGUAAUACGUAGGUGGCAAGCGUUAUCCGGAUUUAUUGGGCGUAAAGCGAGCGCAGGCGGUUUUUUAAGUCUGAUGUGAAAGCCCUCGGCUUAACCGAGGAAGCGCAUCGGAAACUGGGAAACUUGAGUGCAGAAGAGGACAGUGGAACUCCAUGUGUAGCGGUGAAAUGCGUAGAUAUAUGGAAGAACACCAGUGGCGAAGGCGGCUGUCUGGUCUGUAACUGACGCUGAGGCUCGAAAGCAUGGGUAGCGAACAGGAUUAGAUACCCUGGUAGUCCAUGCCGUAAACGAUGAAUGCUAGGUGUUGGAGGGUUUCCGCCCUUCAGUGCCGCAGCUAACGCAUUAAGCACUCCGCCUGGGGAGUACGACCGCAAGG